UGGACUAACCAGAUGUGUUCAUGGAAUCGAGCCCUAGCCAGGGAUAGCCCAUCUGAUCUUGGCUCAUCCACAACUUCUAAACACCUCCAUGAAUAUUUGAUUCACAAUUCACCUAUUAGGUCUUAAGUAGAACAAGAUUUCCUCCCCUUGUGGCGAGUCUCCAGCCAUGGACAAAGCAAGAAUUGCCUGGAAAAGAAAAAAGUUCAAGUUCAAGUAGCCUGGUACCCAGAGUAUCCAAGCUGUCUGGCCCACCCCAAGUCUACCAUCCCAGAGACAGAGGAGAUCUGGGCCACACUGGAGGGAAGAUAAUUGAGCAAAUGUUGUGUGGUUGGCGAACUAAAAGCCAGACAGACAAACACUGACACAGAUUUCCAAGGGAUGUACCCAAAAAGAAGAAACCUACCCUGGAAUGUUUAAAACACUGCUGUGGUAUCCAUGGAAACUGGAGCAAACAGAUAACCUGCCAACCUUGCUUCAGGCUGUGGAGGAGAGCCAGGGUGAAACUGAGCUAGGCUGUGUCAGUGAUGUUCCUGCAGUCUAUUGAGACACACACAAGGCCUGGAGCAUUUUGACUUUGGCCUGAAACCCCAUGGUCUUUGGAGAGAUCCUGAGAAACAGAUCAGUAAUGGAAAGUGGUUUGUAUCAGUGAGAUCAUGACAUUUUAAUCAAAAGCUGGACUGGGCUAGUUAGUGUUUGAAGAAGUUCUAAAAAGAAGUUCCCAACUUUCCUGACCAUGAACUCCCCUUGAAUUCCCAAGCAAAGUUUUGACAUUGUGUUACAUAAAAGGCUACAGAGGGUGGAUCAAAGCAA